UUGGUACAGAUGCUUUGAUUGGGGAGGGAUCAUAUGGCAGUGGGUACUAUGGGCUUCUAAAAAGUGGCAGGCUGCAGCUAUUGAGAAGUUAGACGCAAGCAAGCAACCUGAUGAUGAAUUCUUAGCCCAGGUUUGGGAUGACAGCCGGUAUCAAUUGUAGACUCUCUCUUUAUUUAUUUAUUUUUUUUUUCAGCUGAUGUAAAGCUUGGCAGGUUUCCAUGGUGUUGAGACUGAAACAUGAAAAUUUUGUCAAAUUGCUUGGUUAUUGUGUUGAUGGAAAUUCCCGUGUUCUCACCUACGAGUUUGCAUCUAAUGGCUCUCUCCAUGACAUCCUCCAUGGUCGAAAAGGAGUUAAAGGGGCACUGCCUGGUCCUGUUCUUUCUUGGGAACAGCGAGUAAAGAUUGCAGUAGGGGCUGCUAAAGGACUCGAGUACCUGCAUGAAAAAGCUGAACCUAGAGUAAUCCAUUGUGAUAUUAAGUCCAGCAGUGUCUUAAUAUUCGAUGAUGACAUUGCAAAGAUAGCUGAUUUUGAUUUGUCCAACAAAGCUCCUGAUAUGGCAGCCCGGCUCCAUUCAACUCGUGUUCUUUGCACUUUUGGUUAUCAUGCUCCCGAGUAAGCUACUUUUGGUUCUCACAAUUUAUCAUAUCCGACACACAUGCGCAUGCUUGCGCUCCUAUCUUGAUAACUCAGUUUAUCAUGUUAUUAGUAUAAAGUAUUUUCUGGAAAGCUUUUUGUUUUUUGCUGUCCUACUCUAGUGACUCAACCUCAUUAUCCUUAUUGUAUAGUGGAGAAUGACAUUUUAUAAAUAUCUUUUAUUUGUCUUGACGACAGAGUAACACAAACAUUGACCUCGAUGAAUGUUUGCGGGAGAAAAUGAGAACUUCGUUGCAGUAGGUAGUGUUUUGUAUAAACUUCUCUUUGGGCCAGCUCAUAUGAUCCAAAUCACAUGGAGCCUUUUCUCAAGCAGAGUUAUGCAUCGUAAUCCUUGCCAUGAGCAACUUUUGAUAACACCUUCUUAUGGGGCCAAUAUGCAAUGACUGGACAGCUAAGUGCCAAAAGUGAUGUAUAUAGUUUUGGUGUUGUUCUGCUGGAGCUUCUGACUGCGCGGAAACCUGUGGAUCAUACAUUACUAAGGGGGCAGCAGAGUCUUGUUACAUGGGCUACACCUAAGCUGAGUGAAGACAAAGAUAGGCAGUGUGUGGAUGCAAGACUUGGAGGCGAAUACCCUCCAAAGGCAGUUGCAAAGGUAAUGCUUCAACUUACCAUGUUAAUAUGCUUUUACUCAUGAGCGCACGAUCUCUCAGUCAGUCGUCAGUUGUCCAGAUAAAUUUCUUAUCAUUGCUAAUCAUUCUGUGAUUUCCAUAUCAACAUAUUAGAUGAAUUGAUGGACCAGUGGCAGACUUAACGCAUUUUAGGCUAAGAGAUUCUACUAUAGAACUUCUCUUUCCUGUAAAACAAGAUGAAUGUUAUAUAGGCAAUAAAAUGUGCUCCAGAAUUUAGGUUGCUGUUGCUUUUCAUUUGCCCUUUCCAGGAAAUUGAACUCUAGAUUUUGGUGUUUGUAGAGAAAUUUAAGUAUGUCGCUAAUAUAGCAGUAAAAGUUCUGGGAUCCUCUACAUUUUGACGCCUCAUUUUCAUGAGAUCUUAAUUGUAGAGAGCCACUUCUUAGAAUAUAUAUCUGC